GACGAACGCUGGCGGCGUGCCUAAUACAUGCAAGUCGAGCGCAGGAAACUGACGGAACUCUUCGGAGGGAAGGCAGUGGAAUGAGCGGCGGACGGGUGAGUAACACGUAAGGAACCUGCCUCAAGGAUUGGGAUAACUCCGAGAAAUCGGAGCUAAUACCGGAUAGUUCAACGGACCGCAUGGUCCGCUGGUGGACGGCGCUCCGGCGUCACCUUGAGCUGGCCUUGCGGUGCAUUAGCUAGUUGGUGGGGUAACGGCCCACCAAGGCGACGAUGCAUAGCCGACCUGAGAGGGUGAUCGGCCACACUGGGACUGAGACACGGCCCAGACUCCUACGGGAGGCAGCAGUAGGGAAUCUUCCACAAUGGACGAAAGUCUGAUGGAGCAACGCCGCGUGAGUGAUGAAGGUUUUCGGAUCGUAAAACUCUGUUGUAAGGGAAGAACACGUACGAGAGGGAAUGCUCGUACCUUGACGGUACCUUACGAGAAAGCCACGGCUAACUACGUGCCAGCAGCCGCGGUAACAC
rnacentral:rRNA from 1 species